rnacentral:rRNA from 1 species
GACGAACGCUGGCGGCGUGCUUAACACAUGCAAGUCGAACGGAAAGGCCCUGCUUUUGUGGGGUUCUCGAGUGGCGAACGGGUGAGUAACACGUGAGUAACCUGCCCUUGACUUUGGGAUAACUUCAGGAAACUGGGGCUAAUACCGGAUAGGAGCUCCUGCUGCAUGGUGGGGGUUGGAAAGUUUCGGCGGUUGGGGAUGGACUCGCGGCUUAUCAGCUUGUUGGUGGGGUAGUGGCUUACCAAGGCUUUGACGGCUAGCCGGCCUGAGAGGGUGACCGGCCACAUUGGGACUGAGGUACGGCGCAGACUCCUACGGGAGGCAGCAGUGGGGAAUAUUGCACAAUGGGCGGAAGCCUGAUGCAGCAACGCCGCGUGCGGGAUGACGGCCUUCGGGUUGUAAACCGCUUUCGCCGGUGACGAAGCGUGAGUGACGGUAAUGGGUAAAGAAGCACCGGCUAACUACGUG